rnacentral:rRNA from 1 species
UACAGAGGGGGCAAGCGUUGUUCGGAAUUACUGGGCGUAAAGGGCGCGUAGGCGGCCUGCUAAGUCGAACGUGAAAUCCCCAGGCUCAACCUGGGAACUGCAUCCGAUACUGGAUGGCUUGAAUUCGGGAGAGGGAUGCAGAAUUCCAGGUGUAGCGGUGAAAUGCGUAGAUAUCUGGAGGAAUACCGGUGGCGAAGGCGGCAUUCUGGACCGACAUUGACGCUGAGGAGCGAAAGCCAGGGGAGCAAACGGG